rnacentral:misc_RNA from 1 species
UAUUAUGCGUUAAGGAUGGAACGGCUUGUUUGAGCUCUUUUUUUAAUGUUUUUCACAAUAAAAAAAAGCGAGUAGAGACAGCCUGACCCAAA